UAAAGUCUAGCCAGCAUUUGGGAAAAGAAAAUCAUAAUUGAUGCAUUAAACUCUGCUCCCAGGACUUCUAUGUUCCAUCUCUGUAGUUGAAGAAUCAGUGCUUUUAUUCACCCCUCUCAGAGCUAUUGCUGCAGACUGUGUGCAGACUAUCA